AACCCACCCAGAAUCUGUGGAAAUGUGUAGAGGAAAACCCUGCACCCAUUCUCUAAUAAUAGCUACAUGUUAGCAAAGGUGCAAAUAAUCAGCUGCAACUUCACUCUUGAAAACCAUGGAUCUGACAGCAACUGUAAACAAAGCCACCCAUGAGCUGGAUCUUAACCUGGUGCUGAAGAAACUCCUGGAAGGAGCACAAAACCAAGAAUAACUGAGAGAUAAAUGCUUUUUGAAAAGAAAUAAAGCUUGAAAUUUGGGAGUCCUUGCUGGUUUGGGGCCCAGUACAUCAGUACCACUGGUACAUGAC